GGCUCAGUAGCUCAGUUGGUUAGAGCACGGGACUCAUAAGCCUGGGGUCGUCUGUUCAAGUCAGACCUGAGCCAUCA
rnacentral:tRNA from 1 species